rnacentral:lncRNA from 1 species
UGUUGCUACAUCUCUUGAGGAUUUACUUUAAAUAUGAAAAGCUGUUUCUGACAAACAAACUGUCUUCUACAUUGACAUGUUAACAUAAAAACAUUGAGAUAUAGAGGUUUAUGUAAUCCAUCGCACAUCGGCUUAUUUUUUAAUAUAAUACACACAAAGCGAGAAUUGGCACAACUGGGACUAAAUAGAAUAGUUGGUUGGACAUUG